AGCGAACGCUGGCGGCGUGCCUAACACAUGCAAGUCGAACGUGAAAGGGAGCAAUCCCAAGUAAAGUGGCGUACGGGUGAGUAACACGUAGGUAAUCUACCCCAGAAUCUGGAAUAACCGGCCGAAAGGCUGGCUAAUACUGGAUAGAGCGACGGAAUCCGUAAUUGGGUUUUUCGGGAAAGGGAGCCUGUAAAAAGGCCUUCGUUCUGGGAUGAGCCUGCGUCCCAUCAGCUAGUUGGUGAGGUAAAAGCUUACCAAGGCAAUGACGGGUAGCUGGUCUGAGAGGACGAUCAGCCACACUGGAACUGAAACACGGUCCAGACUCCUACGGCAGGCAGCAGUGGGGAAUCUUGCGCAAUAGACGAAAGUCUGACGCAGCAACGCCGCGUGAGUGAAGAAGGCCUUCGGGUUGUAAAGCUCUGUCGAGUGGGACGAAAAUGCUUGGAGUUCACAGCUCCAGGAACUGACGGUACCACUAAAGGAAGCACCGGCUAACUCCGUG
rnacentral:rRNA from 1 species